UCGGAUAACGCCUUUGAGGCGGGACUGUGGCUUUGAAAACAAAGAACAUACACGUGUGUGCACACCGAUGACUGGUUAACGAUUUGUCCAACAUUUGCGAUAAAAGGUUUUAUUAUUUUUAAAACAAUCGUAUUUCGAUAGCGCAGUUAAUUCCAUGUUAUAAAAACGCUAGUCAUUACACUGGAUACUACAUAUACUUUUUAUACAAAUGUAUCUACACAUUGGUGCAAAACAGAAAAGAAUCAGUCGCUCUCUCUCUAUGCAAUAAUAAAUAAUCUACACUCUGAGAAGAAGAUGCUUGGUCAUUCUCACCCGGGUUCCUAAAGAUUAUGCAACCCAUCUGGGUAAAUUAGAUCUAAUAGUAAAUGUUGUCGAAUGACUAGAUACCUUUCCAAUGACAAUUGUCAAAUGACCAGAGGGCGUGAGAUUUGUUAAUCUCGUACAAGUACAGAUGAAUAAAGUAAAGAAAAGUUUUUCAAGAAAUAUUGCACUAUAUAAGCCGAAGUCGCUUCACGGUAUUCCAUUUAAAAUAAUAAUUGAUUUAAGAUUCUUUUUAGUGAUGAUUAUAUUUAUUCAACACAUAGAUAUUCAAUAAAUUUAUGUCUUGAGAAUGAAUGUAAUUUAAGUGCAUUAAGAUUAUUUUACUAUAUUAUUUUAAAGUUAGGCCGUUGAAUGAAAGUGGGUGUUGUUCUUUUUGCGAUGCCUACAAAUUAACUUACUUAUUUUUUGUUCAUGA